rnacentral:rRNA from 1 species
GAUGAACGCUGGCGGCGUGCCUAAUACAUGCAAGUCGAGCGAACGGACGAGAAGCUUGCUUUUCUGAUGUUAGCGGCGGACGGGUGAGUAACACGUGGAUAACCUACCUAUAAGACUGGGAUAACUUCGGGAAACCGGAGCUAAUACCGGAUAAUAUUUUGAACCGCAUGGUUCAAAAGUGAAAGACGGUCUUGCUGUCACUUAUAGAUGGAUCCGCGCUGCAUUAGCUAGUUGGUAAGGUAACGGCUUACCAAGGCAACGAUGCAUAGCCGACCUGAGAGGGUGAUCGGCCACACUGGAACUGAGACACGGUCCAGACUCCUGCGGGAGGCAGCAGUAGGGAAUCUUGCGCAAUGGGCGAAAGCCUGACGGAGCAACGCCGCGUGAGUGAUGAAGGUCUUCGGAUCGUAAAACUCUGUUAUUAGGGAAGAACAUAUGUGUAAGUAACUGUGCACAUCUUGACGGUACCUAAUCAGAAAGCCACGGCUAACUACGUG